GGCAGUGUGGUAUAAUGGUUAAGCACAUGGCCUGUAUAGCCGGACUGCCAGAGUUCAACUCUCUGCUCUCCUG
rnacentral:tRNA from 1 species